rnacentral:rRNA from 1 species
UGCCCGAAAGGGUGACGAAGCGACGCCGCGUGGGUGAGGAAGGCCUUCGGGUUGUAAAGCCCUGUCAGGAGUUAAGAAAUGUAGACUCGCUAAUAUCGGGUCUAUUUGACAAAGGCUCCAAAGGAAGCCACGGCUAACUCUGUGCCAGCAGCCGCGGUAAUACAGAGGUGGCAAGCGUUGUUCGGAAUUAUUGGGCGUAAAGAGCACGUAGGUGGAUUUGUAUGUCAGACGUGAAAGCCUUCUGUCCAACGGAAGAGUUGCAUCUGAAACUACAAACCUUGAGUGUAGGAGGGGAGAAUGGAACUUCUGGUGGAGCGGUGAAGUGCGUAGAUAUCAGAAGGAACGCCGGCGGCGAAAGCGAUUCUCUGGCCUAUUACUGACACUCAGUGUGCGAAAGCUAGGGGAGCAAACGGGAUUAGAUACCCCGGUAGUCCUAGCCGUAAACGAUGGGCACUAAGUAGAGGGG